rnacentral:rRNA from 1 species
AAUAUUGGGCAAUGGGCGAGAGCCUGACCCAGCGACGCCGCGUGAAGGAAGAAGGUCUNCGGAUUNUNAACUUCUUUUGCAGAGGNAGAAAAGCGCAUUCGGUGCGCCAUGACGGUACUCUGAGAAAAAGCCACGGCUAACUACGUGCCAGCAGCCGCGGUAAUACGUAGGGUGCAAGCGUUAAUCGGAAUUACUGGGCGUAAAGCGUGCGCAGGCGGUUCGGCAAGAAGGAUGUGAAAUCCCAGGGCUUAACCUUGGAACUGCAUUCUUAACUGCCGGGCUAGAGUAUGUCAGAGGGGGGUAGAAUUCCGCGUGUAGCAGUGAAAUGCGUAGAGAUGCGGAGGAAUACCGAUGGCGAAGGCAGCCCCCUGGGAUAAUACUGACGCUCAUGCACGAAAGCGUGGGGAGCAAAC